rnacentral:rRNA from 1 species
GUCGAAUGAUCCUUCGGGAUAGUGGCGGACGGGUGAGUAACGCGUGGGAAUCUGCCCUCAGGAGGGGGAUAACGGCUGGAAACGGCCGCUAAUACCCCAUAUGCCGAGAGGUGAAAUGAAUUUCGCCUGAGGAUGAGCCCGCGUCUGAUUAGCUAGUUGGUGGGGUAACGGCCCACCAAGGCGACGAUCAGUAGCUGGUCUGAGAGGAUGAUCAGCCACACUGGGACUGAGACACGGCCCAGACUCCUACGGGAGGCAGCAGUGGGGAAUUUUCCGCAAUGGGCGAAAGCCUGACGGAGCAACGCCGCGUGAGGGAUGAAGGCCUCUGGGCUGUAAACCUCUUUUCUCAAGGAAGAAGACCUGACGGUACUUGAGGAAUAAGCCACGGCUAAUUCCGUGCCAGCAGCCGCGGUAAUACGGGAGUGGCAAGCGUUAUCCGGAAUUAUUGGGCGUAAAGCGUCCGCAGGCGGCUUUGUAAGUCUGUUGUUAAAGCGUGGAGCUUAACUCCAUUUAAGCAAUGGAAACUACAAGGCUGGAGUGUGGUAGGGGCAGAGGGAAUUCCCGGUGUAGCGGUGAAAUGCGUAGAUAUCGGGAAGAACACCAGUGGCGAAGGCGCUCUGCUGGGCCAUAACUGACGCUCAUGGACGAAAGCCAGGGGAGCGAAAGGGAUUAGAUACCCCUGUAGUCCUGGCCGUAAACGAUGAACACUAGGUGUCGGGGGAAUCGACCCCCUCGGUGUCGUAGCCAACGCGUUAAGUGUUCCGCCUGGGGAGUACGCACGCAAGUGUGAAACUCAAAGGAAUUGACGGGGGCCCGCACAAGCGGUGGAGUAUGUGGUUUAAUUCGAUGCAACGCGAAGAACCUUACCAGGGUUUGACAUCCUGCGAACCCCUGAGAAAUCGGGGGGUGCCUUCGGGAGCGCAGAGACAGGUGGUGCAUGGCUGUCGUCAGCUCGUGUCGUGAGAUGUUGGGUUAAGUCCCGCAACGAGCGCAACCCACGUCUUUAGUUGCCAGCAUUCAGUUGUGCACUCUAGAGAGACCGCCGGUGAUAAACCGGAGGAAGGUGUGGAUGACGUCAAGUCACCAUGCCCCUUACAUCCUGGGCUACACACGUACUACAAUGCUACGGACAAAGGGCAGCAAGCUCGCGAGAGUUAGCAAAUCCCAUAAACCGUGGCUCAGUUCAGAUCGUAGGCUGCAACUCGCCUACGUGAAGGAGGAAUCGCUAGUAAUCGCAGGUCAGCAUACUGCGGUGAAUACGUUCCCGGGCCUUGUACACACCGCCCGUCACACCAUGGAAGUUGGCCAUGCCCGAAGUCGUUACUCCAACCC